CAGGGGUGGCCAGCCAAGGUUGCAAAACUAGGUCCAAUGUUCGGCAGAGCCCACGUAAUAAGCUCAGUCUCCCCACAGAGAGGCAGUUUCAGCAUGCUUGAGUGAUAACCAGGGCUUCCCUCAAGUCAUCAGUUGAGUCAAGCAUGCCACCUGCCCUUGUAGGAGUUGAUGGAACUACUCUCCAGAGCUUUCAAGAUAAGAUGCUCAUAGAUUUCAGCCUUAUUUGCCAAAGCCUAAAGAAAUGAGUGCCCAGGAGUCGUGUUCAGAUCAAUACAGUAAGAUUACUGGUAUCCCCAUGGCGUGGUCUGACCCCAAGGCGUGGAUUUGUCAGACCUGUGGAGCCUUUCAAAGGAGCACAUAACUGCCAAUGAAGUCACAGUAAGUGAUAAGGUUACUUUAAUUAGUCAUAAUCCUGUGAAAGGUUAUUUAGAAACAAAAUACUCAAGCCGUACUCUAAUAGUUUAUUUAAAAAAUCAUGCACAGCAAACAGUCCAGUUCCAUGUAACAGCACAAACCUUACUUAACCAGUCAGCUAACUUAAACCUAAGCAAAUGUAUGCAUAGAAGGAUAUUCUAUCUUUUUCCUUUUAGAUUUUGAUGGCCUUCAAAUCCCCCUUACCCUAAUGAUAUUGCCACUAGCAAUCUUAUUUAAUUUUUUUUACAAUCCUUAUUUUGCAAUAACCAUAAGAGGUUCUUUAAAUCUAAAAGCUUAGAUUUACUCUUAAUAAACAGAUACUGUUGUUUCUCCUUCAUCAAGGAACCAAAUGUCCUCUGUACUUCCAUAUAUGAAAUGUGAUCAUACAAUUUAUAUAGUUCUUCCAAUCCUUGAGAACUGCUCUGAAUAAAAAUGUCUUUUAAUAACAUUAACACAGUGAAAACUAGACCCACAAAUCAAGGUUCAAAAUAGUCAUCUUCAUCUAUGCAGGUUGUAGCAUUUGUACAGAUUUUCUACAGGUACUUAUAAAGGUAACAACUUUUGUAAGUGUGGAUCUACACUGGCAUUAAAAGACAGUGCAGACAAAGCUAGCAACACUGUGGCUGUUAUAAUUAGACCAAUACUAUAGCUGUAGGUGCUAGUGAUGAUUCCAGUAAUUCUGGAUGCAUAUUUAGCUAGGGGUCUGGAAUGACUCAAGUUUAAUUGAGGGUCUUUGAAACGUCUUUUCAGCCCCAAGCUGCAACCUCCUUUGUUCCUUUCUGUACCUCUGUUCAGAUUUGCUUUCUUUCGUAUUACUUUUCACCCUCUCCUAACAAUUGUAUUAUGUAUUGUGCAACUGCAAAAGUUUACCUCCUGUUGCACCUUUCAAACCACCUCUACUUUCGGUUUUCUUUUUGGUGCAGAAUGACCUCAUAGGUGUCAGCACUUGGCUUCUGGCCUAAAUCUUAUAUUCCUUCUGUCCUUCCUGCUGAAGGAAAGCCAGAUUUGCUGAACAGCAGCACUGAUAAGCAGUAAAUGUGCCUUGUUGUUGAACGUCUCCCAGUUCCAGAGGUCCUUUAUUCCUCGCACCUGUGCAACAGUCUCCUUACUGAGGAUGUCGUGUGCAAUAUGUUGAGUUUCAUACAGUUGCAAAAGCAGUUUUACAAAACUAAUGUGUAUAUUUACUUUCUAGGUUUUCAUUUUUGAGUGUUUAAAAUGCUGGGCAGGCCAUUUUCCAUUGCUUGUAUUAUUUAGUGUUUAGUGGGAAAAGUUUUAUAAUUGCAUUGCUAUCACUAGUGGGAAUUAUUGGCAAUCCAUGCAUGAUAUAUGUUGGUGACAACUAUGGUACACCUGAGGUGUAGAGAAAGUGUUUUUAUUUUGCACAUUUCUUUGUUUUUACUUGCAUGUUUUUCUCCUCUGUGUUUUGUGCACAUGUUCAGUGAAGGUGACACAUUGCCUGUUAGUUGAAGGUUAGACUAUUCCAGAUGUGCCUGAGGCUAGGUUAGCUAUUGCAGGCUUUCAGUGCCAUGUUUCAGAUGUCUCCAUCUCUUUGAUAUAUUUGUCCAAAGGCUUUUUUUUUCCUGUAGGUUUUUUUUAGUUUCCUAUUUGAUUUUAUUAUGGCAUCAGCAACCUAGAUGCUGAGACGCCCGUUUUGGAGAACUGUGCCCAUUAGUGGAAAGGAUAGACCUUGAUACUUUGCCUGCUAAUGGGAUUUGUAGAUUCAUCUACUUUUGUACAUUUUUUUUUUUUUUUUGGUCAAGUGAUCCAAAUUUUAUCAUAUUUUAACCUUCUGUCAUAAUCACCGGGUAACUCCCAGGUAAAACUUAAUAUCAUUUCACCUGUUGCAUUGAUGGUAUUCCUUUUUUAAAGUGUUAACAACACCCCAAGGGUGUGUUGUAAACACUUUAAGUGACUGAAUCUACAAAUCAGUCACUUCAAAGAUGACAAGGUCAGACAGCUCCUCUUCGAUUCUUUAACAGAGUGAAAGUAGAAGUCUCAAGCUCUUGGACCAGUGUUUUCGCAUCUGGUCAGCUAUAGAGGUCAUUUGGAGGUCCGGAGGUGAUUUGACUAGGUACCAAGACCUGACAAAUGUUGAAUUUGGUAUCUUGGGUAGAGAGAGAGAAAAAAAUGCACAGGUUGAGAGAGAAAUGCAGUGCUGGUAUAAAGAGAACAAUGCACUGGUAGAGAGAGAGAUGUAGUACUAGUAUCUAUAUUACCGAGUAUUGAGUGUAUAAAAGGCCAACCGGUGCUGGGUAAGAGUAAGUAUAAGUGGCCGAGGCUAUUUUGAAGGUGUGGUAAGAGCCAGUGCCAGUUAUGGCUGGGCCACCAAAUUUAAGGUGUAAAUGUCUCCAUUGGAUGGUCAAUGUAAAGUUUCUAAAGCGGAAUGAAGAAAAGAUGGUUGAGAGUAAAGUAACGUCACGUCUUUCAAUGACGUCAUGAUUGCGUCACUCGAAAGGUGUGCAAGCUUAUUGCAACUUACACAAGCUGUAUUAUUUGGAAAGUAUUACGUCGUGGGUACAUAAGGUGACAUCCUAGGUUUGACGUAAACUGGUAAAACCUUUUUAGUGACGUCAUACCUUUGAAUUAGGUAAGGUAUUGUACAGUCAUACUGUUAUGACAAGUACAGGUAAGACAUCCUUUUCAAAUUGUCAUAGAUGACAUAAGCAUUGUAGA